AGAGUUUGAUCCUGGCUCAGAAUGGACGCUGGCGGCGUGGUUAAGACAUGCAAGUCGAACGGGAUGAACGGUGUAGCAAUACAUUGUUCAUUCAGUGGCGAACGGGUGCGUAACACGUGAACAAUCUACCUCCAAGAGGGGAAUAGCUCGCCGAAAGGCGAAUUAAUACCCCAUACAGUUGCCUCUCGCAUGAGGGGCAUACCAAAGUCGGGGACCGCAAGGCCUGACGCUAGGAGAGGAGUUCGCGGCCUAUCAGCUAGUUGGCGAGGUAACGGCUCACCAAGGCUAAGACGGGUAGCUGGUCUGAGAGGAUGAUCAGCCACACUGGGACUGAGAUACGGCCCAGACUCCUACGGGAGGCAGCAGUGGGGAAUAUUGGACAAUGGGGGCAACCCUGAUCCAGCAAUGCCG
rnacentral:rRNA from 1 species